rnacentral:rRNA from 1 species
AUUGAACGCUGGCGGCAUGCCUUACACAUGCAAGUCGAACGGCAGCACGGGCUUCGGUCUGGUGGCGAGUGGCGAACGGGUGAGUAAUGUAUCGGAACGUACCUUUCAGUGGGGGAUAACGUAGCGAAAGUUACGCUAAUACCGCAUAUUCUGUGAGCAGGAAAGCAGGGGGUCGCAAGACCUUGCGCUUUAGGAGCGGCCGAUGUCGGAUUAGCUAGUUGGUGAGGUAAAGGCUCACCAAGGCGACGAUCCGUAGCGGGUCUGAGUGGAUGAUCCGCCACACUGGGACUGAGACACGGCCCAGACUCCUACGGGAGGCAGCAGUGGGGAAUUUUGGACAAUGGGCGCAAGCCUGAUUCAGCCAUGCCGCGUGAGUGAAGAAGGCCUUCGGGUUGUAAAGCUCUUUCGGUGGGGAAGAAAUGGUUUCGGUUAAUACCCGGAGCUGAUGACGGUACCCGCAUAAGAAGCACCGGCUAACUACGUGCCAGCCGCCGCGGUAA